rnacentral:sRNA from 1 species
GGAAAACAAGAACAGGCAAAAGAAGAAAAGGCUCGAGAACUCUUCCUAAAAGCAGUAGAAGAAGAACAAAAUGGAGCUCUCUAUGAAGCCAUCAAGUUUUAUCGUAGGGCUAUGCAACUUGUACCUGAUAUAGAGUUCAAGAUUACUUAUACCCGGUCUCCAGAUGGUGAUGGCGUUGGAAACAGCUACAUUGAAGAUAAUGAUGAUGACAGCAAAAUGGCAGAUCUCUUGUCCUACUUCCAGCAGCAACUCACAUUUCAGGAGUCUGUGCUUAAACUGUGUCAGCCUGAGCUUGAGAGCAGUCAGACUCACAUAUCAGUGUUGCCAAUGGAGGUCCUGAUGUACAUCUUCCGAUGGGUGGUGUCUAGUGACUUGGACCUCAGAUCAUUGGAGCAGUUGUCGCUGGUGUGCAGAGGAUUCUACAUCUGUGCCAGAGACCCUGAAAUAUGGCGUCUGGCCUGCUUGAAAGUUUGGGGCAGAAGCUGUAUUAAACUUGUUCCGUACACGUCCUGGAGAGAGAUGUUUUUAGAACGGCCUCGUGUUCGGUUUGAUGGAGUGUAUAUCAGUAAAACCACAUAUAUUCGUCAAGGGGAACAGUCUCUUGAUGGUUUCUAUAGAGCCUGGCACCAAGUGGAAUAUUACAGGUACAACUGUAGUACACUGAGUGAGUGGAAAAUUCUCUCUCUCCAUGUAUUAGUUAAAUGGACAUCUGUUCUUUGUUGCUUUUGAUUGACCCGCAAAAUGGCCCUCAGUAUUUUUAUCUAGUACUCAAUGUAGGAAUUGCACUAAAAAAAAAAAAUAGGCUAAUAUAAAUUACAGAAUUUCUUCUGGCCUCUUUUAGAUUUCUCCUUGUCUUUUGCCCUGGGUGUAUUUACUUGCCUUUUCAAAUAGCUUGUGCUUUUAUUCCACCUUAUUGCUUGCCAAAUAUUAUUGUCAUUUAGAAAAAAAUAGACAUGUUAACCAUUGUGUGUGGCUCUCACUUUGUUUGAAAUUGUUGCUUUGGGAAAAACACAGAACUUUAAUAAAACAAUAUUUGACUUUUAUUCAGUGAGUAAAACUUAAAAGUUCAACAGUUUCCCCUGAGGAAGAUAAAAUAUCUUUGGUUCUUUGUUGCUGGACUAACAGGUAGUCAGUCAU